rnacentral:rRNA from 1 species
CCGGCGAGGGAUGGGCCCGCGGUCCAUUAGCUAGUUGGUGGGGUAAAGGCCCACCAAGGCGACGAUGGAUAGCUGGUCUGAGAGGAUGAUCAGCCACACUGGGACUGAGACACGGCCCAG